rnacentral:rRNA from 1 species
UACGUAGGGGGCAAGCGUUAUCCGGAUUUACUGGGUGUAAAGGGAGCGUAGACGGCGAUGCAAGCCAGAUGUGAAAGCCCUAGGCUCAACCCCGGGACUGCAUUUGGAACUGUAUAGCUAGAGUGUCGGAGAGGCAGGCGGAAUUCCUAGUGUAGCGGUGAAAUGCGUAGAUAUUAGGAGGAACACCAGUGGCGAAGGCGGCCUGCUGGACGAUGACUGACGUUGAGGCUCGAAAGCGUGGGGAGCAAACAGG